AUACAGAGAAAAACCUAAGAACAGACCCUAGGAACAAACCUGCAAAACACCGAAAACCCAGAAAAAUCUCUACAAAAAACACUCUAUUGGGAAACUCUAAUCACUGAGUUUGACAUUUUCUUUGCUUAAAACCCAUCUUCUUCUUCCUCUAUUUGACAAUAUAUCCAUCAUCAUCAACAACAUCGGUUAAUGUUCCACUGAGCCCUAAGUAUUUUUUUUUUGCUCGGCAAGCCCUAAGUAUAUUUAAUCUCGUUGGUUUCAUUGAUCUGUACCGUCUCUAUCGUCAAGAUCAUAUAAGGUACGAUCUUUGCUCUUAAUAAAUAACAAAAUGUUGUCUGUUGGACUGGAUUUCAAAGCUCAAGGUACUCUUUUUGAUAAGCUUUGGUGCAAGAUAUUGUGCAGCUGAUAUCUACGUAGAAGACAUUCAAUAGAAUGUUGUAUUAAUGUUGAAGACGUAUUUAAAGGAUUCCCACCAGAACCUGGUAUAUUUCGAUGCAUGUGUACGUUUUUUUUUGUUUCGACAUCACUAUAGUAUCUUUAGUGAUUAAUGAUAUUAUUCCUGGAGUUAGAGAUAUGCAUGUCUUCUUGGGUACAUAUUUCAAUUUUACAUAUUUUAGUUUCACUGUAAGCAUAUAUUGGUGUUGAGUCGGCAAUGGCAAUGGAGUUUAGCCCUCAAAAAGAACACAUUAGUAAACAGAACUGUCAAGUUUUUCUCUAACCUGAAGAAAAAUUUGGGUCCUGGAGUUGAUGGUUGGGCUGUUUCCUUGAAAGGAAUGAUGACCAUUGUUGUCUGCACGGGGCUUUCAAUCUGUGGUAUCUAUCGGUGGGUUAACAUUUUUGAGCCUCUUCCCGUAACAGCAAGAAGAAGGUGCGUACGAGAAGGUUCUUCUACCUACAGACUGGAGGUACAAGAUUUACUGGAAACAAGCAGAUGUUUGAAUAAGUUGAUUGUGAAAUUGUAGUCUUAAGUGCUGUGCUACUGAGCGAAGCGAUGCUACCUCCAAGGGAAUGAGUACUUUAAAGAGAUGAAUUCAUCAGUUGGCACUUCAGAUUCUGUAAUACGACCUGUUCAAGGUAUGUUCAAUAAUUUUUGUUAACAGGAUUAUGGGGGCACUUCUCGGUAUCUACUGUUGAAAAUAGAUGCAGCUAAGACAUCUGCAUCCGAGAUAUAUUUUCAACAUGUCAAGAGAGAUAAUUUGGACUGUAAGCAUUUUUGGAAUCUGAUAUGCAAAGUUGCCACAUCGAUGGUAAGAGAAAUUAUAAACUGAGAUGCUAGAAGAGUAAACAAAAGACUAGGAUGGCCACCAAACCAGAGACCAAAGCAAGGCUAGACAAAACAGAAAGUAUCAAUGGUACUUCGUCCUUAACUAAAAUGGAACUUUCAUGCUGGAGCAAGAACUAGCAUAAAAGUCGAUUUAUUAUGACCAGCGCGGUUAUUUGUUAUUUCAUUUUCUACUAUCGAAUACCCAGGAGACAUUAACUUGAUAAUAUACGUGUUGUCUUUACCUGUAACCAGUUAUCCGACCCUUCCAUUUAUACAACUACUGAGUUUGAAAGCCACUAUUGAGUAGAGAUUGGCUCAAGUAAGUACUCAUGGCAAACUAUUAUUCCCUCGGUGGAAAUUCAGGCCAAAUGCUUCAAAGCAAAAGAACAGUCCCUGACUAGAAAACUUAUAUGAAAGUAAGGUAUGAAUAAUCCUUUUGUAUCAGACAUCUAUUAGGUUUGAACAUACUUUUCUAGAUGUAUUGAUAAUAGGCUUGCAAGCUCAUUGUAAAUACAGGGCAAGUGCAGCCUCCAAUUGAUGUAAAGGCUAUAUUAGCUGUUUGAGGGACUUAGAGUAAGUGUAGAUGUUACAUUGUGCUCUGCAGGGCUAUGUAAGUGUUGGGAAUCUUGGGAUGUGUUUGUUUCAUGUCCAUUGGUAAUUUUUGUUGCCAAUGCCUAGGUGAAUCAGAUCAGAGGGAUUUAAAUUCAAUAUCUUCAACGGCACUGCGGUUUUGCUGUCUAAGAUAGUUAUUCGUGGUUUUGCACCUGUUUCAAAUUCAAUAUUUUCGCAUGCAGGGUUGUUAAAGUACCGGUAUAUUCUGAAAACUGAAGUGUGGUAUGUGGUUAGCGGUGCAUUAGAGUCUCAAGUAUUACAGCACGUAUUUCAACCAGGUUUGCCCAUCUGGGUCUAUGUAUAAUACGUUCUGUUUAAUUUAUUUUUGUUUAUAUAAUUUCCUAGUGGAGUGUUUGUGACACCCACUUGCAAUCUUAUUUUAUUUAUUUCUUUGUGUGGCAGGGAAGACAAACUAUCUAUUACAGGUACAUUUCACAUAAUGUAUGAACUGUUGGUUAAGGCAGAUGCUGAUUUUGAAGUUCUUUGGUUGUUUUGCAGUUUUUGCUCGGGUCAGAAAGAAGUUUUGGUGAUGUUUUGACUUUCUUGGAUCGAUCUUACAUGCCCAGACUCCACAUGAAAAUUUUAUCACUAUGUUUCGAGUUUUUAACAUCGCUAUCCAGUUUGAGCUAUUUGUCAGUAUCUUAUAAGAACAGUCUUCUCCGUAGGUAGAAAGGUUUUUAUAGAUAAGGAGAAGAAGGUUCUUAUUAGUUACUAGCCAAUUGCAUCAAACGAGAACCAUGAGAACUGCUUCUGGAAUGAAUUGAGAGAAACAUGUGAAGAUGGCAUUGAUCACAGCUGGAUCUUACAAGAAUCAGUGCAGCUACGAUGUGGUCGGGCCACAUACUUGAAGUAUGUGGCCCCUCUUUAAAUCAUGACACGUCGCAUAAAGUAAGAAAAAUUUGGAAAACAGUUUUAUUACCUAACUGUUUUUCUUUUUUCUUUCUAUUAAUUCCUACUUUUUCUCAAAAAGUGAAACAGUUAAGGGGAUUUGGAGGGGGCAGGUUUUUUUGUUAAAUAGGUGUCAGAAAAUGAAGAGGGGCCACAUAUAAAAUUGAUGUGGCCCGACCACAUCGUAGCCGGGGCGUACAAGAAUUGUCUUCCCCUAGGGGUAACUGUAAGGCCAACUACUUUGGAGCGUGAAGAUCCGUUCACGACUUUCGCCUUGGAAGAUUUCUUUCUCUUUUCAUCUGUACUUUCCUUAGAAGCAACAGCCUUCACCUUCCUCUCAAGAGAAGCAGCCUCUUUCUCCAUCUGCCAAUCAAGAAAGAUCACAGGUUCUUUCAUGUUACCAUCCAAUUGCAUCAAACGAGUCCACUAGAACUGCUUCUGGAAUAUAUUGAGAGAACAAUAUCAAGAUGGCAUGGAAAGCUGGAUUUUUUACAAUCUGUGCUUUUUCUUCAUUGAGCAACUUCUGUGAACUUAUUCGUGUUUGUUGCUAUUUUCAUGAAGUUUGGACUAAGCCUUACAUUAUGCAAAAUCAAGUGAUAUGAUGAUUUGCUUGAGAUGGCAAAGGAGUUAAUCUCAAACACUGCCCUCGGUCAAAUCUAUGACAGCAAUGCUCUAAAUAUCUGGGACCUGUAAUAUUAAUAUUCCUUGGUGGCAGUUUACAGAUUUGUACUUUUAUCUGUUAUGUUUUGGAAGCUAUUGGUCAUAUCUUAACAUUUUUAUUGUCGUUCUAUGUGAAAUCAGCUAGAGAGAGAACACUAUGAAUACAUAACUGUUGAAGGCAAAAUCGUGCACAAAAAAAGUAAUCAAGUUCUCGAUACAACUAAAGGAUCUAACAAAUCAAAAUGGGUUUUCGUAAUAAGAAACUCUACGCUGGCAAGUUUGUGUUGGGCAGGGAUUUGGAGAGGGAUAGAAGGUGAUUCUUGAUGCAACAUCAACAACACUGCAUUGUGCUCAGCAACUGUUUGCUGAAUUUCCUUAACUAAGUUAAAGACUGCGUGUAAUUUGUGCUCAAUUGAUCUUUAUAUAGCAGACUUAUUUUAAACGGUUGUUCGGAACUACGUCGGAGGAGCACCAGCCAGAAGUUAGUACGCUGAGUGAUAACAUGAGCAUUUGAAUGCGGCCAGUGGGUGAUACUUUUUUUCUGAAGUCAAUAUGACUGAAUUAUCCAUAAAAAAUUGUUUUCGUAUUCUACUCCCUUAAACCUUUGCAUGGUUAAUUGUACAAACAACACAAUAACCUUACUUGACUGAAUUUUCUAGAUGUUAACAUCUAACUGUAGAGUACUGGAUGAGUUUACUUA